CGGUGGGGGAGGCGGCGUGGGGCCCGGACCGAGCGGAGCGCGCUCCCGGCGGACGCGGCGCGGCGCCCAGCGCGAGGGUCCGGGAUGGGCAGCGAUCAGUCUUCCCAGGUCUGUGGCGUCGUCCCAGGGUUCAGACUCCAGCACUGCCUUUCGCGGGAGGGCGGGGGCAGCCCCGGGGCGGCCUCGGCCGGGCGCUGGAGAGCCCGUUGCGCGCAGGAAGUACGAUCCCGCUCGGGCCGCUCACCGUCCCCAGGGUUCGCCGGAACCCGCAGGGUUAACAGGGGCUAGUGGGUCCCGGGCGCGAGGAGAGGCCGUCCGACCCCGGAGGGUCUCCACGCAGCACGCGGGCGGGUCUGCGCCAGCGGCCCGGAGCCCCGCC
rnacentral:lncRNA from 1 species